AAAGAAUCACAUAAAACCACGUAGUCAAAACAAAUGGACUUGAGAAAAACAACUUUCAGGUAAUUUCUUUUGAUGUGGGGUGAACUAAAUGCAAACUUUAAUAAAGCUACACACUAUUAAUGGAAAAAUACUCUAGAGUUGGUAAUUGAAACUCAUAAGUAACUUACUCGUGAUGUAAAAUAAGAAAGGAAACAUCAAAAAUGGAAACUUUAAAAUAAGUCAAACAACCAGAAAGAGGAAAGGGGAAAACAUGUAGAGCCACCCAAGCAUAGAUA
rnacentral:lncRNA from 1 species